AAAGAUAAAAAGAACACAAAAGCGGAUAAAAAAAUAAAAGAAUAUCUUGAUUGCUAUUCUAAGCUUUCUGCUUCCCUCGAGUCUGAACGAGAAAAUAUCGAAAAAGAAGGUUCAACGACUGGAAAAAUGAAUGCAAACGAAGCGUCAAUAAUAGAGAAGGUUGAAAAUGUAGAAUUUAUAAGAAAGAAGAUGAAUGAUGAGAUCAUACAACGCAAUAUGAAUAAGUGAAAAGAUGACUGUUUAAGGAAAUUCAGAAGUGUACCGCAAGAUUUAAUUGUAGGAUAUGUCAAGCUAAUAGAAUUGGAACCAGAGUACAGUAUACAUCUAAAAUGAUGCCAUCCUAAACACCUUGCUUAAAGUUUGAUGAAUUAAUCCUUUAUUUAUACACG